UACGGAGGGGGCUAGCGUUGUCGUGAAUUACUGGGCGUAAGGGCGCGUAGGCGGCACUGUUAGUCAGGCGUGAAAGUCCUGGGCUCAACCUGGGAACUGCGCUUGAUACGGCAGAGCUAGAGGAUGGAAGAGGGUCGCGGAAUUCCCAGUGUAGAGGUGAAAUUCGUAGAUAUUGGGAAAGAACACCGGUGGCGAAGGCGGCGACCUGGUCCAUUACUGACGCUGAGGCGCGACAGCGUGGGGAGCAA
rnacentral:rRNA from 1 species